ensembl:lncRNA
AGGAGAUAUUGUGAGCUUGCAGAAGUGUUAAAAGAUAAUGAGAGGUGGCACAGUUUGGGUGAAAGGUGGCGUCGUGUCGCAGCCGGCCCUUCUCAACGCCAUGGCUUCCUCAUGUGGUGAUUAGGAGCAGCUAUUUGGACUCUCAUUCUGACGGCACCCAUUCACUGCAGAGGAUCCACUGGUGAGCAAGAGAUUAAAUGGUAAAUUUCUUCAGAUCUGUUCUGAUGGAGAAACAAAAUCAUCUACAUUUUGGAUAUCUUGAGGGUGAGUAAAUUUUAAGCAAAUUUUCAUUUUUUGGAUGAAUUAAUCCUUUAACUUACUCAAACAAUAGUUUAAAGUUUGCAGCGUGACUGUUGUUCCUGAUUGAUUGCAGAAGGGGUGAUAGAAAUGAAUUGGAAACCUGUUUGGAAACAAGCAUUUUUGCAUAAUUUUUGCAGUUAAGUUUAGUGAACAUAGAGUGGCGGAGAAAUAAAAAAUAAAUAAAUUCACUGAUUUGUGUAGGG